CUAGUGGCGCACGGGUGCGUAACGCGUGGGAAUCUGCCCUUGGGUUCGGGAUAACAGUUGGAAACGACUGCUAAUACCGGAUGAUGACUUCGGUCCAAAGAUUUAUCGCCCAGGGAUGAGCCCGCGUCGGAUUAGCUAGUUGGUGGGGUAAAAGCCUACCAAGGCAACGAUCCGUAGCUGGUCUGAGAGGAGGAUCAGCCACACUGGGACUGAGACACGGCCCAGACUCCUACGGGAGGCAGCAGUGGGGAAUAUUGGACAAUGGGCGAAAGCCUGAUCCAGCAAUGCCGCGUGAGUGAUGAAGGCCUUAGGGUUGUAAAGCUCUUUUACCCGGGAUGAUAAUGACAGUACCGGGAGAAUAAGCCCCGGCUAACUCCGUGCCAGCAGCCGCGGUAAUACGAAGGGGGCUAGCGUUGCUCGGAAUCACUGGGCGUAAAGCGCACGUAGGCGGACUCUUAAGUCGGUGGUGAAAUCCUGGAGCUCAACUCCAGAACUGCCUUCGAUG
rnacentral:rRNA from 1 species